UGCUGUACCAGAAAUGCUGUGAUAUUGCUAAAACAUCUGGCGAUAAGAAGAAACAUGCAGAGAGCUUGAAUUCACUCGGAUUCCGUCGUCUCUGUGACGUGUCCCACAGCAAAGACAGCCCAGAAGAAACCCUUGUUACCCUUACAAAGUUUCAGGAAGCAUAUGACAUGCGCAGCACAUUGCCGGAGGAAGAACGAAAGUCCCAAACGCAUGCACAUACCGCUAGUAAGCUUGGAGUAUGUUUUGUACUGCAGGGAGACGAGGAAAAAGGACGAAAGCUCAUACAGGAAGGAAUUUCAAUAAGAGAGUCUUUAUGUGACCAUUUGUAUCUUGCUGCUGGAUAUUGUGACCUUGGAAAUUCCCAUCGAUUGU